rnacentral:lncRNA from 1 species
GAAGACUUCCAGUUCCGGGUUCCGCUGAUCAGAAGCGGACAAGCAAACAGCGGAUGUGCAGUUCCUCUCUUCGCCGAACCCGGUUUUCCCUUUCGGAGCAGCGCGACCGAUUUCCGGUUUCCCCGCCGCAACCACCGUUACCCCCCCCCCGCCCCAAUCCCCGGCGACUCCAGCGACGUCACCGGUUCAGCUCCUGACCUUUCGGCGAACCGCAGAACCACAGGCGACCCGUUCGACGUCAUCACUCCCCGCCCAGAUGUCGCUGUGACAUCACCCCGCACGUGCCUGCGCUGGCACCGCGUCGUCCUGGCGAGCGCCUCCUCGCGGCGGAAGGAGAUCCUGGGGUUCGCUGUGCGAGACAUGUCGGCGGGGUUUCACGUGAGUGACACUUGGUCCCCACGGGAUUGACAGCGACUAGCGGAGUGGCAUGUGGACGUAGCUUCAGGUGACCUCACUGACCCCGCCCCUGACUCCACCCCUUGUGAUGACCCCACCACUGACCCACAGGCCUUGGAGGGGCUGAUCCUGGAGAAGUCAAAGGACCAGGAGGACGCCAUGGGGGGUGCUGUACAGGCUGAGCAGGAAGCAGAGCAGCACAGCGUCAUCAUGAGGGUAGCCAUCUUCACCUGGGGCAUCCACGGAGGCCCUGCCCAGGAAGUGACUUUCUCUCUACUGUAGGAGGAGCUGAUCCACGACUACUUGGACAACAGCACACCAGCGAAGGAUGGGACAAGGCCUGGGGCCUCCGCCAUCCAUGCGUGGGGAGUGAUGCUGGUAGAGGGCAAAUUGGUGACGUCAUCAAUGCAGCGGGCUUCCCACUCAACCACUUUAGCCGCAAGCUUGCAAGGGCAGCUGCCAGAGACAGGAAGUGACAUCGCUGUGGAGAGGGCAGCAGGAAGUGAGGUGGAAGAAAAGUGUUUUGAAACUGACCCUACAGAUAAAAGAGUUCAUCAUGAAUGCGAUACCCUCCUAUACAGUUGUUAGAAGCAACCCUCCAUCUCCAACUCCAAAAAUAAAUGAAAACCAAACCACACAGUUGGAAAUCAGCAAGAAGAGAACCGGAUGGUGGAUGGCAGCAGAUGGACAGGAGAGCACUCAGCAGCACUUGCUCUUCCAGCCCGUCACGCCUCCUCCACUGCUGAUAUCUACGUUUUCACUGUUGGGUUCUUUUACAGGGGUCUGCAACAACACAAGGAAGCAAGCAACCCGUGAGAAAGCACUGGCAUGGAUGAAAACAGACUCACUGGAAAGAUGCAAAGCAAUGUCAGGUUACACAACAAAAGGCAAUUACAGUCAUAUGAGGGAGUGUUCGAAAAGUUGUAAUUUGAAAACUGUUUUUGGUUGUCCUUUAGUUGGCCUCCUCUGUAAAUUGUGACAGACAUCUCCUGACAACACUUAAAGCAUCUCAAACCAUCCUUGCCCUGAUCUAUGAGUUCUCAGAACAGAAGGACUACUGAGCCAGGCGUGGUAGCACAUGCCUGUGAUCCUACAACUCAGAAGACAGAAGAGGAAUUCUAGGUCAGCCUGGGCUAGACAGACAGCAAGACUCUUGUUUUGUUUUGAAAGGCUGGUGAGGUAGUUCAGCGGGUUAACUGCCUGGUCUAAGCCCAGUGACGUGAGUUUGUGUGCUGUGGAGCUUCUGCAAACCCUGCCCCUGCCAAAUAAAAACUCGUAAUUUAUAACUCACAAAAA